GACGAACGCUGGCGGCGUGCCUAACACAUGCAAGUCGAGCGGGGACUUAUGGAAUGAAGCUUCGGCAGAAUGAAGUAAGUUCUAGCGGCGGACGGGUGAGUAACGCGUGAGUAACCUGCCUAUCACUGGGGAAUAACGCAUCGAAAGGUGUGCUAAUACCGCAUGAGACCACAAUGUCGCAUGACGAAGGGGUCAAAGAUUUAUUGGUGAUAGAUGGGCUCGCGUCUGAUUAGCUAGUUGGUGAGGUAACGGCCCACCAAGGCGACGAUCAGUAGCCGACCUGAGAGGGUGAUCGGCCACAUUGGAACUGAGAAACGGUCCAAACUCCUACGGGAGGCAGCAGUGGGGAAUAUUGGGCAAUGGGGGAAACCCUGACCCAGCAACGCCGCGUGAAGGAAGAAGGUCUUCGGAUCGUAAACUUCUAUCCUUGGUGAAGAUAAUGACGGUAGCCGAGAAGGAAGCCCCGGCUAACUACGUG
rnacentral:rRNA from 1 species